rnacentral:rRNA from 1 species
AGUGAGCGCUGGCGGUAGGCCUAACACAUGCAAGUCGAACGGCAGCACAGUAAGAGCUUGCUCUUACGGGUGGCGAGUGGCGGACGGGUGAGGAAUACAUCGGAAUCUACUUUUUCGUGGGGGAUAACGUAGGGAAACUUACGCUAAUACCGCAUACGACCUACGGGUGAAAGCAGGGGAUCUUCGGACCUUGCGCGAUUGAAUGAGCCGAUGUCGGAUUAGCUAGUUGGCGGGGUAAAGGCCCACCAAGGCGACGAUCCGUAGCUGGUCUGAGAGGAUGAUCAGCCACACUGGAACUGAGACACGGUCCAGACUCCUACGGGAGGCAGCAGUGGGGAAUAUUGGACAAUGGGCGCAAGCCUGAUCCAGCCAUACCGCGUGGGUGAAGAAGGCCUUCGGGUUGUAAAGCCCUUUUGUUGGGAAAGAAAAGCGGCAGGUUAAUACCCCGCUGUUCUGACGGUACCCAAAGAAUAAGCACCGGCUAACUUCGUG